rnacentral:lncRNA from 1 species
GUGGUUUCAACCUGGGCUGCACAGUAGAACCUAUUGAGGAGUUUUAUAAAUUCUGAUGCCCAGAAGCUGCACCCCAGACUAAUUAAAUCCAAAUCACUGGAGGUGGCAACCAGACAUCAGGAGUUUUAAAAGCUCCCCCAGGCAAUUCCAAGUGCAGCCAAGGUUGAAAACACAUAAGAGUGGAGAAGGCCUCAUAUGGGGUGUGUGAUGAGCAGAAUUGCAGGAACAGAAAUGUUCAUUUGGCAACUCCGGAGGAAGAGGCAGGAGGCUCACAAGUUUGAGGCCAGCUCUGGGUGCUUAGCAAGACCCUGUCUCAAAAAAAAAAAAAAAAAAUCAAAAGGAAUCAAAAGGACUGGAGACAUAGCUUAGAGGUAAAGCACCCUGGGUUCCAUCCCUAGUGCAGAAAAAUGAUUUUUUAAAAAAAUUGUGCUAUUUUAUCUAGUCUUAUCAAAAACCUCUUACAGUUUGUCCUGUGAGAUCUAUUUUACAGCUAAGGAAACUGGAUGGCAGCACGGUUGGGUCAAGCAUCACAGGGCUGGAGGGCUGUGGAUUGGCCGUGUUCUAUGGAGCCCACGCUUCACCCAGCCCUUCUCUCUCUGCUGUGUGUUGGCUGCCUGUGGAGGGAUCUGAAGGAUCACCCGGGCUGCAUGAUAAAGGGGAGAAAUGAGAGGCAAGGAGGCUCCUGAGGAGACCAGGGUAGUAAUCUGGGUGCAUUUGGAGAAAUUUUGGGUUUAAGCAACUAUCUGGAUCAAGUGUGAGCCCAAACCACUAGCUGGGCAAUGCCAUCUGCCUGUCCUCUGAGUCCAAGAACCGAGGCCAGCCUCUGUCCCACUGCUCUGAGGAGGCCUAUCCCCAGAAGUUCUAGAAAUUAAAAUACAGCAGCUGUGGCUGUUUCAAAGGUAGCAGCCCUUUACCAGAUCGGUGCCUUCCCUUCUUCAGGAAUUCUUUGCUCCCACAAAGCAAAAAGCAUAAAAUGCUCUCAGCACAUUCUUCCUCGGUCCUUUAAGGAGCUCUGUAAUCUCAGGGUUUAUAGGUAGUGGGUGUAAACACAAGGUUUAAAGAUAUAAUCUUCAGCUUGACAAGGUGUCUUUUGAAAAGUAAAUUAAUGACAGAGAGAAAAGCAAUAAGAAGAGCUUUCUUCUUUUUUUUUUUCCUUGAGAGAGAGGAAGAUCUAAAGAGCUCAGCACUCAAUGAAUCUCUUCUGAACGAUGUGCCUUUAGGGUGAGGGAAAUGGACAGAGAGAAAAGGAAGGCUUCAAAAGCCACGCUGCAGCAAUGAGCCGUGGCAGGGCGACUCUAUGGAGAGGAAGGGGUGGGAUGGGGAUUAGCAGAGGGCACUUCUCUCUCACAAAGAAAAUUUACACCGCUGCCCCUCCACUGUUGAAUUGGGCAACUGACCUUCAGGUGACCUCUAAUGCCAGCCCCAUGCCAGGUGCUGGAGGUUCAGAGAAGUCAUAUAUGGUCCCAGACCAGGAAUGAUGCAGAGCCUGGUGGAAGAGAUCUGUGAACCAUGGUGAUGGUUCCCCGGACAGCAAG